UUCUAUGAACUCGAUCUAUAACGAAUGCACUUCGUUUCUUGUUAACCAAGUUGUUCGUCAUAAGUUGAAGUGAGUUUUUAGUGCUGCAAUUACAAGCAUAUUAUGUAAAAUCCUAUCGUUAGAUCGUGUAGAUAAAAAUCAUUCAAUAACAUUACGCGUAUGAAAUAUAUUUCUUUCGUACUUAUUCAUAUAUCUCAGACAGACAUAAAAAUGCAUCUUCGAUUGUAAAAACAGACAAGCAAAUGCCACUGCUUGUUUUGACAUUAUACGUCUGCGUCUAUCCUAAUAAGAAUUUUUUAUUCUACACACAUUCUGCAUAUAAUAUCAUUUUUAUUGUAUAGAAACGUUUAUUUAUUAUUAAAUAAUACAAGCCAGUCGAAUUUUUUCUAAUAAUAUCGUCUAACAAUAAUAUCGUCACCUGUAAACGUUUUUACUGACAGCGAAUAAAAUAUCAUAUCUCAUAAUGAAUAACGUCCUGUUGCCUCUGCUACGCACAAUUAUGAGUUACACCACGUGAAAAAUCAAGGCAUUUAACACGUAUAAGAAACUCUUUAAUUCUUUUUUUAUAUCAGAGGUUGUCCAGUGACGUCGUUUAUCGUGCGGCAAAGGAAAUGAGGCCGCAAGGAAAGAAUAUGUGAUCAUUGCCUUGAUGCGGCAGCCUAAUUUUAAAUCACGGCUGAAAGAGUGAAAAUUGCUGUUCAACGAUAUUGUAAAUUCCUAUUGUGAGUUUCUGUUAGAAAGGAAAACGAACGUUUACGCAAUCGAGAGCAGGAUACUAAUAUCUAGAAAGAUGGUUGAAACCUCGAGUAAAGUCUGAAGUUCGUUUAUGAAAAAUUGUGCAAAUUGAGAAAGUUGCAAUGGAAAAUAGAUCUUUUCAGUCAGCAGAAUCGAAGAAGCAGAAAAUGAUAAAAAUAGGAAAUUUUACUUUCUCGGAUAAAGAAGCGUAAAAAAUUUCGCGCGAUCAUUUCCAUCAUUCCAGAUUUUUUGACGACGUCCUGAAAGCCGAUCUCCUUGUAUUCGUUAACCGAACAAAAAGAGACGAUUACUGAACGACGUAAUGGACUAUUUUAUCGAGUCGAGGAAAUUGUAAUCCUAUCUGAUUCAGAUUGGCUUCUUUCAGCCGAUUACGUAACCGCUUUUUACUUUCCUCACGAGGAUUAUUACCGGCGUAGAAAGAGCCAUGGAUUAGGAAUACUUUCCAUUUCACUGGCCAACCAUUUUGUCCACGAUCACUGAACAGAAGGAAGGUCGGUUCCGGAGAUAACGCAAUGUAACAGCGUCGAAAGUUUGCGGAGAAAUUAUUGAAAUUAAUCAGUUUGCCUCAAGUGUCUUGCCUGUUAUACUAUGCCUAAGCCUGUUUACUGGGUUGUUUUUUAACACUAGAACUAUCGCCGUGUAAUAUACGUUUAAAUAUAUCACAUACCUAGAUGAACGUAAUUCAAACGAAUAUGAUUUAAAUAAAAGUGAAGGUUAAUUUUAUAUUUCCGAUAAUUGCGAAAAGAAGAGAAAAAUCUGCGAUGUACCACUUUAACAAACUUGGUAAUUCUAAUGUCAGAAACACUGAAUUGUUCGUCGAAUCUCUAGAUAAAGAAAUUAUUAAGUUCAAGACGCUAUCAAACCAUUGAGACAAGAUUUUAACUUGUUUUUUCAUAUUCUGACAGACUAAUAAUAUAUUUGAUUGAGUUGAACAGAUUUCUGCCGAUUGCUUUCUUUUGUGGAAAAUUACGGUCGAGUUCGGUUCGUACAUGCGAAAACCGCAUGUGUAUCUAACGUGACAUCUAUAGAUUGUAUCAUCAGUGGUACGAUUGAUUGAGAGUCACUGGCAUAAGCGAUAACUGUUGUAAGAGUAAAGAAAGGCACGCAGUCAGACGGGUAUCGACGAAAUUCGGUGUUAGAAAACGGAACCUUGUGAAACAAUGGCACUGACACGUUUCGCGGUGAACGACAAGGUCGGCCGGUACGAUGGUAAACCAGUUUUCAUUUUCAAACGAUCGGUAUAGCUUACGAUGAAUAUAAAACGGCUUGUCCUCAACUGAGAAUCCUUCCGCUAUGAUUAACGCUUCGAUAGAUACGUCAAUUACAAAUCGUUCCGAACGUUUAUCGCUUGACAUCGCAUUUGUGGAGAACUCGAUACAGCUAGCGUCAAGCUGAACAUUAAUUAUUUGAAGUCGAUGUUUUUGUAGAUUGAUAAUUAACGUUUGAACUUUGCUUCAUCGUGAAAAUAAAUUCAUUGUAGAAAAAAGAAAGGGAAGAGGAAUUGUUCUUGUUAGAUCGAAUAGAUCGCAGUCUGAUUUUUUGGACGAAUACUGACAAGGUUAUGUCAUUGAAUUUGGACAUUUUUAUCAUCCUUCCUCGUCGUAUCGUGAAAAAUCGAAGCAGAAAAAUACGAGUAUACUUGGUGUUUUCUAUCAUACACGCACAGCACGUAACAUCGAACUUUACGAAUUCAAAGAAA